rnacentral:lncRNA from 1 species
ACACCUCACCACCAUUAAUGAACAAAGAGUCCAAGAAAGGAAAAAAAUUACACUUAAGGAUCAACUCCUGAGAGUACAGCUAUUUAAAUACACUGCUGAAAUCAACUAAAAUUGUACAAAAUUAAUGUUUCUUUUUUGCUUCUCUCUCACUGAGAUGAAGCCUUCCCUUGUGUACAAAAGGAGAAGAUAUUAAUUUUUGGAUGGUGCCGUAUUUAAGAACAGAAUUCAGAAGGUGCAUUAACGUCAGAAAUUCACCAAGAGUUUUGUUUAGAAGGUCCCCUCUAACAGGGUGGGUAAAGUCUGAAAUUGAACCUGGCUGAAGUUGAAAUCAGAGCCUGUGAGUAUCCUGGGGAACACUUUCCCCUUGAUAUGUGUUUCUACUAGUUAUGUCUACUCUGAUAUAAAGAUCCAGACCAGGAACAUGGCCUAAGGACAAUUUCCUGACCAUUCACAGACCUUUAGUCAAAAGCCUGCUCCCCUGCAGAGCUUUGGGUUGUGCCAAAUGUCAGUGUCUAAAAGAUUCCAGGUUUUGGGCUGGGGGACAGC